AAAACAAACCUAUUUUAUUCCAUUGCGAAGUUUCUCUAUUAGAGAAAACAGGCAACAACAAACAACUCAAAUAUCCAACACAAUUAUGGCACAUGCAAGACACGUUUUCCUUGUUGCCCUUGUCUUGUUCAACAUCAUUGUUCUAUCCUAUGGUGCUGCCGAGGCACCAAAAACAUCUUCUCCUUCCAAUGACAGUGCUGAAGUUGAUGAUGAUCAUGAAGGUGUGAUUGGAACCGGUGAAAGUGGUGCAGCUUCUCCAAACAGUGUAGUGGCUGGACCCAUUGGUGGACCCGUUCCUCCCGGUGCUUUCGAUAAAGCUAAUAAGGCUAGUGCACCAAGUGCUGCCACCUCUUCCUUCCAACACUUCUCCGCUGCGGCCGGAGCCGCCGCCACCGCAGUCCCUAGCUUCUUCUACCUCCAAAUAUAAUAUCACAUAUUGCAUGCAAAGAAAGAGCUAACACCCGUUACUAUAUUUUCUUUUCACCCAUGUUGUUUCCUUCUUUCUAUGUUUUGUUGACCUACGACAUCAUUGGAUCCUUCUCACGAACUAUUGCUAGCACAUAUACUCUGAAGUAUAUAAACAAUGUUAGGUGAAAUUUCAUUUUAGUGAAUAAAAUUAUUUACAACUUCUACUCUUGCAUUCUCUCUCUUUUUCUCCCGAUAUUCUUUCUCUCCCACAUUUUAUAUCUGGUUGGAAAAUUGUAUUGUGAUUUUCUUAUGCAUAUUUGUGUAUGAGUUCUUGAGAAUAGGUACUCAUGAACCGUGAUGAUGUAUCUCAAAUAUGACUAUGGAAGACUCACGAACCUGAAAGCCAUUCUGUUUGUCACAACUUUCACCAAUCUGUUUGGGCUGUCAUAAAAACAAAAGGUUAUUAUGACAGAAUCUGGUCAGAUAAACACAAAAAGUUAUUUUUCAUUGACAAUGCCCCAUAAGAUGUAGAGUCUUCAAUAGUCACAUUUGAGAUAUUUAAUGCGUUCUUAUUAGAGAUCAAAGCUUCCCUGACCAUUUUGCAGCACAUUUUACACAUAUAAUUAAUAUCUUAAUUAGUUUGUUAAAUUAUUACUUGUAUCACAAGUUAUCUUUGUAUUGUGUAUAUAAGCACAUGAAUUGUAAUCUUUUAAUCAAGUAAUGAAGAUUCACAAUAUUCAUUUUAUGUUUCCCCAUUAUUUUCACAAUAGUUCUGUUGGUAUUGAAUGCCCUCAAUUCAGCGGUUCAGCCAUUGUUUCAAUAAAUGAUUAAUUGUUCACUUUUGAUAUUCCUUUUUACUUCCCUAUGCUAGAUGUUCAGAAAUUGAUAAUUCUUGCCACAGCAAAGAUGUAUUAGUAUACAUACGAGUGCUUGUAACCUGUUAUAUAGAUGUUUUACUUGGUUGAUAACUGAGAUUGCUAUUCUUAUGUUUCGCGUACAGAGGCGAAGGCAAUACUCAGCUUACAAGGUUCCACAACCUCCACCUCAUUAUAGCAAGACUCUUCUAGGCUCUAGCAACAACACAACAUCUUUUUGUUCGAAGAAUUUUCACUUGUCAGACUUGUUAGGACGAGGAGGAAGCCUUGAGUUUUAUUUACCCCCAUAUGUCACAGCACAAUCAUUACAAGAAUAAGGCUUUAGUAGUUAGCUUUGCUUCCCAGUCUGUUUUGAAUUGGCAAUGGGAUGCAAUUCAGAAACAAGAUUAGUCAUAGAAAUUAGAUAAUAUCAAAAGCUGAAUGUCUGUUGAAGUAAUAAGUCAUAAACUAACACUAUUCACAAUGGGCGUAUCAGCUAAGAGAUUAGUCGGGUAGUGUGUUAGGUUAUUUUGACCUAUACAAAAGGUCCAUUAUAGUUUCUUAGUCUCUGCAUGGAUGAAAUUUUGGGUUACAGUGAAACAUCAGAAACUUGAUGUUAUAUAGUUUGUGUCUAUACCAAGAUUGCUAAGUGGUCUAAAUUAUAUUCUUAAUCACAAUAUCACAUAUAUAGCAUGCAAGGAAAG
rnacentral:lncRNA from 1 species